rnacentral:rRNA from 1 species
GAUGAACGCUGGCGGCGUGCCUAAUACAUGCAAGUCGAGCGAACAGACGAGGAGCUUGCUCCUUUGACGUUAGCGGCGGACGGGUGAGUAACACGUGGGUAACCUACCUAUAAGACUGGGAUAACUUCGGGAAACCGAAGCUAAUACCGGAUAAUAUUUCGAACCGCAUGGUUCGAUAGUGAAAGAUGGCUUUGCUAUCACUUAUAGAUGGACCUGCGCCGUAUUAGCUAGUUGGUAAGGUAACGGCUUACCAAGGCAACGAUACGUAGCCGACCUGAGAGGGUGAUCGGCCACACUGGAACUGAGACACGGUCCAGACUCCUACGGGAGGCAGCAGUAGGGAAUCUUCCGCAAUGGGCGAAAGCCUGACGGAGCAACGCCGCGUGAGUGAUGAAGGUCUUCGGAUCGUAAAACUCUGUUAGUAGGGAAGAACAAACGUGUAAGUAACUGUGCACGUCUUGACGGUACCUAAUCAGAAAGCCACGGCUAACUACGUGCCAGCAGCCGCGGUAAUACGUAGGUGGCAAGCGUUAUCCGGAAUUAUUGGGCGUAAAGCGCGCGUAGGCGGUUUUUUAAGUCUGAUGUGAAAGCCCACGGCUCAACCGUGGAGGGUCAUUGGAAACUGGAAAACUUGAGUGCAGAAGAGGAAAGUGGAAUUCCAUGUGUAGCGGUGAAAUGCGCAGAGAUAUGGAGGAACACCAGUGGCGAAGGCGACUUUCUGGUCUGUAACUGACGCUGAUGUGCGAAAGCGUGGGGAUCAAACAGGAUUAGAUACCCUGGUAGUCCACGCCGUAAACGAUGAGUGCUAAGUGUUAGGGGGUUUCCGCCCCUUAGUGCUGCAGCUAACGCAUUAAGCACUCCGCCUGGGGAGUACGACCGCAAGGUUGAAACCCAAAGGAAUUGACGGGGACCCGCACAAGCGGUGGAGCAUGUGGUUUAAUUCGAAGCAACGCGAAGAACCUUACCAAAUCUUGACAUCCUUUGACCCUUCUAGAGAUAGAAGUUUCCCCUUCGGGGGACAAAGUGACAGGUGGUGCAUGGUUGUCGUCAGCUCGUGUCGUGAGAUGUUGGGUUAAGUCCCGCAACGAGCGCAACCCUUAAGCUUAGUUGCCAUCAUUAAGUUGGGCACUCUAAGUUGACUGCCGGUGACAAACCGGAGGAAGGUGGGGAUGACGUCAAAUCAUCAUGCCCCUUAUGAUUUGGGCUACACACGUGCUACAAUGGACAAUACAAAGGGCAGCGAAACCGCGAGGUCAAGCAAAUCCCAUAAAGUUGUUCUCAGUUCGGAUUGUAGUCUGCAACUCGACUACAUGAAGCUGGAAUCGCUAGUAAUCGUAGAUCAGCAUGCUACGGUGAAUACGUUCCCGGGUCU